AUAUAAAUCACCUGGGAUCAUGUUAAAAUACAGCUUCUGAUCCAGUAGUUCUGGAGAGGAGCCUGAGACGCUGCAUUUCUAACAAGCUCCCAGGUGAUGUUGAC
rnacentral:pre_miRNA from 2 species